UACAGAGGUCCCAAGCGUUGUUCGGAUUCACUGGGCGUAAAGGGUGCGUAGGCGGUCGGGUGAGUCUGACGUGAAAUCUCCAAGCUCAACUUGGAAAUGGCGUCGGAUACUAUUCGGCUCGAGGAAUGGAGGGGAGACUGGAAUUCUCGGUGUAGCAGUGAAAUGCGUAGAUAUCGAGAGGAACACCAGUGGCGAAGGCGAGUCUCUGGACAUUUCCUGACGCUGAGGCACGAAAGCCAGGGGAGCAAACGGG
rnacentral:rRNA from 1 species